AAACUCAAAUGGAUUGACGGGGACCCGCACAAGCAGCGGAGCGUGUGGUUUAAUUCGUUGCUACACGAAGAACCUUACCUGGGUUUGACAUAUAAGUUGUAGGGAACUGAAAAGGGACCGACCCUUCGGGGAGCUUUAUACAGGUGUUGCAUGGCUGUCGUCAGCUCGUGUCGUGAGAUGUUCGGUUAAGUCCGCUAACGAGCGCAACCCUCGCCGUAUGUUACAAGUGUCAUACGGGACUGCCGGUAAAAGCCGGAGGAAGGUGAGGAUGAUGUCAAGUCAGCAUGACCUUUAUAUCCAGGGCUACACACACGCUACAAUGGUCUGUACAAUUGGUUGCCAAGCCGCGAGGCGGAGCCAAUCCGUAAAGCAGGCCUCAGUUCAGAUUGCAGUCUGCAACUCGACUGCAUGAAGCCGGAGUUGCUAGUAACCGCAGGUCAGCAAUACUGCGGUGAAUACGUUCCCGGGUCUU
rnacentral:rRNA from 1 species